UACAGAGGAGCCAAGCGUUGUUCGGAAUUACUGGGCGUAAAGGGCUCGUAGGUGGCCAACUAAGUCAGACGUGAAAUCCCUCGGCUUAACCGGGGAACUGCGUCUGAUACUGGAUGGCUUGAGUUUGGGAGAGGGACGCGGAAUUCCAGGUGUAGCGGUGAAAUGCGUAGAUAUCUGGAGGAACACCGGUGGCGAAGGCGGCGUCCUGGACCAACACUGACACUGAUGAGCGAAAGCCAGGGGAGCAAACGGG
rnacentral:rRNA from 1 species